UCCAAAUCACGAUCGAUUCCCUUUUCAAAACCUGCAGCAGCAGCUCGGGCUCUUCCUGCAUGCCAUAAAUGGCCAAAAAAGAAGAAUUCUAGAACAAAAUGAGAAGUUGAUAACCAACUUCUAGGAGAGACAUAA
rnacentral:rRNA from 1 species